ensembl:lncRNA
CUACUAAUGCCUCAGAUAUCUUCAAUAUACCUAAAAUAAUUAAUCAUCCAAUGGAUUGUGCCAAAAUGCCAGUGGAACUGUGAUAGGAAUUGUGGAUUACUUGAGGAAGGCCAACUGAGAUCAAAAAGAAACUGUCUCUACCUGGUGCGCCCACAUAGCAAUUCUGUCCAGCCCAAGAGUCUGGGACAUGCCAGAACAUUUUCUUCUUUAUAGUCUGUGGGAGGCACUGACAAGAACAGUUGAUACAGAUUUGCCUCCAUUUGAGACUCAGAAUUUUGCAGCUGUUUUCUCAAUGCAGGAAGAGGUCAUUAUUAGAAUGAAGUGAAGAAAGGAAGGCAUGAAGGGGAAAUGGGACUGUUUACGGAGCACAUCUACACAAAGGAGACAGGGGGAAGUGCUGUGCUCUUCAGUGUCUUUGUAGCAUAAAUCACUGAGGCAGAGGAAUUUUUGACAGCUUCCCCUAAGUGCUCGCUUCAAGGGUGAGACCAAAUUUAGUGACAUCAUUUUGCAAGGAGUAGGAGGCGCUUCUUACUGGAGAAGGCACGUCACCAGGGUAUUCUUUGAAGUUUCAAAAGCCCAUACCAGGCCCAGUCUAUCUCUGCCUCCUGUCUGCUGAUCAGGAUGAGGCUCUCCUGCCUCCAUGCCGCUGUGCUUCCCAGCGUGAUGAGCAAAGAAAAACCUUCUGAGAUUGUAAGCAAGCCACCA